rnacentral:lncRNA from 1 species
AUGAACGCCAGGACCGAACUCGCUCCGGAGGGGUGGGGCCUCGGUGACGUCAUGCGGCCUGCCGCCCGGGGCCGGGGGCGGGGCCUGCCGCCGCGGGUGACGUCAUGGGGCUCCGGGGCGGGCCGCGCUCGGCCGAUCGCCGUUGGGGCGGCGGGGAGGAGCCUGGCGCCCACGGGGGAGCGGGGCGCGCGCGGGAGCCGCCCCGGCCGCCCCCGCCCCCGGCCCCCGCCCCCCGGCGUCCCGGCUUCCCGGCGCGGGCUCCGGCUUUGUCCCGAGCGGGGCGGGGCGGGGCGGGGCGGCGGGGGAGGGCGCGGAGGGCGGCCCCGAGGUGCCCGCGUCCGCGCGGCGGCGACCCCUGCAAGCCCGGGCUCCCCGCGCGGGGCGGGAGCUGCGCGCGCCGCGCCCGCCCGCCCUGCCUCAGUUUCCCGCACGCGGACGCCCGCAGGUUCGGGGAAGGGAAGUUUCUGUUCUGGAAACGCGGGCGGCGGCUCGGCGGGCGGCGCGGUGGAGCCUUCCCGGGCCCGCACGCGCAGCCCGCCGCGGCCUCCCUCCGACACUUUGCGAAAGUUCGGGGCGCCCGUGGCAAGGCGGAGGCGGCCCUCGCACGUAGCGGAGAAGAGCGCGAUCCGAGCUGCUGGCGGCCCCGCCCUGCGCACGGGCUUCCCCGACCCGCUCCACGAGCGCGGUUCCCUCGGCCCCGGGGGUCGUACUCCUCGAAAGGAGUGGGUUGGGUGGAAACGCCCCGCGAACCUCAGAGGGCUGCGUCCGGCCGCUUCAGCCGCUCCCGUGCGCUUCCACGCUGCAAGAGCAGGUCCCAACGCCACCUUUGGAGGCGCAAAAGGGACCUCGGGGACCCGGUGGGUAGACCCGAAAGCCGCCGGGUGCAGUCGGCCCCCUAAAGCCUUGCGUGGUUGUCCUGGGCAGCUGCGCGGAGAUCAGAGUAGCAGUGCAGCUCCUGUACUGCUGACCUCUUCUAGGCACCUGGCUCUCCCUUCCCCAACGUAA